GGACGAGCUGAGAGGAGGUGCAUGGCCGUCGCCAGCUCGUGCCGUGAGGUGUCCUGUUAAGUCAGGCAACGAGCGAGACCCCCGCCCCUAGUUGCUACCAGAACUCGGAAGGGUUCUGGGCACUCUAGGGGGACUGCCGCCGAUAAGGCGGAGGAAGGAGGGGGCUACGGCAGGUCAGUAUGCCCCGAAUCCCCUGGGCCACACGCGGCAUACAAUGGCAGGGACAAUGGGCUGCCACCCCGAAAGGGGGAGCUAAUC
rnacentral:rRNA from 1 species